rnacentral:rRNA from 1 species
CAGCCGCCGCGGUAAUACGGAGGGAGCUAGCGUUAUUCGGAAUUACUGGGCGUAAAGCGCACGUAGGCGGCUUUGUAAGUUAGAGGUGAAAGCCUGGAGCUCAACUCCAGAAUUGCCUUUAAGACUGCAUCGCUUGAAUCCAGGAGAGGUGAGUGGAAUUCCGAGUGUAGAGGUGAAAUUCGUAGAUAUUCGGAAGAACACCAGUGGCGAAGGCGGCUCACUGGACUGGUAUUGACGCUGAGGUGCGAAAGCGUGGGGAGCAAACAGGAUUAGAUACCCCCGUAGUCCCUGUCUCUUAUAC